CCUCGGUUUGCACGCUCUCUCG
rnacentral:miRNA from 1 species